AACGAACGCUGGCGGCGUGGCUAAGACAUGCAAGUCAAACGGACUGUGCUUUUAUUAGUACAGUCAGUGGCGAAAGGGUGCGGAACGGACAGGUAACGUACCCUGUGCUUCAGAAUAGCGUCUGAAAACUUCGGUUUUCUUCCGAAAGGGGCGAUAAUACUGAAUAAUGUCGUUCUUCGAAUGUGGAAUGACCAAAGAUUUAUCGGCACAGGAGCGGCCUAUCUCCUAUCAGCUUGUUGGUGAGGUAAUGGCUCACCAAGGCUUCGACGGGUACCGGGACUGAGAGGUUGGCCCGGCUCAUCGGGACUGAGACACUGCCCGGACCUCCACGGAGGGCUGCAGUAACGAAUAUUGCGCAAUGAGCGAAAGCUUGACGCAGCGACGCCGCGUGUAGGAUGAAGCUUCUCGGAGUGUAAACUACUGUCAGGGCUUAGAAAGUGCGCUUCGGCGCAUGAUCAAGCC
rnacentral:rRNA from 1 species